CCGACCUGAGAGGGUGAUCGGCCACACUGGAACUGAGACACGGUCCAGACUCCUACGGGAGGCAGCAGUAGGGAAUCUUCCGCAAUGGGCGAAAGCCUGACGGAGCAACGCCGCGUGAGUGAUGAAGGUCUUCGGAUCGUAAAGCUCUGUUGUUAGGGAAGAACAAAUGUGUAAGUAACUGUGCACAUCUUGACGGUACCUAACCAGAAAGCCACGGCUAACUACGUGCCAGCAGCCGCGGUAAUACGUAGGUGGCAAGCGUUAUCCGGAAUUAUUGGGCGUAAAGCGCGCGUAGGCGGUUUUUUAAGUCUGAUGUGAAAGCCCACGGCUCAACCGUGGAGGGUCAUUGGAAACUGGAAAACUUGAGUGCAGAAGAGGAAAGUGGAAUUCCAUGUGUAGCGGUGAAAUGCGCAGAGAUAUGGAGGAACACCAGUGGCGAAGGCGGCUUUCUGGUCUGCAACUGACGCUGAUGUGCGAAAGCGUGGGGAUCAAACAGGAUUAGAUACCCUGGUAGUCCACGCCGUAAACGAUGAGUGCUAAGUGUUAGGGGGUUUCCGCCCCUUAGUGCUGCAGCUAACGCAUUAAGCACUCCGCCUGGGGAGUACGGUCGCAAGACUGAAACUCAAAGGAAUUGACGGGGACCCGCACAAGCGGUGGAGCAUGUGGUUUAAUUCGAAGCAACGCGAAGAACCUUACCAAAUCUUGACAUCCUUUGACCGCUCUAGAGAUAGAGUUUUCCUCUUCGGAGGACAAAGUGACAGGUGGUGCAUGGUUGUCGUCAGCUCGUGUCGUGAGAUGUUGGGUUAAGUCCCGCAACGAGCGCAACCCUUGAACUUAGUUGCCAUCAUUCAGUUGGGCACUCUAAGUUGACUGCCGGUGACAAACCGGAGGAAGGUGGGGAUGACGUCAAAUCAUCAUGCCCCUUAUGAUUUGGGCUACACACGUGCUACAAUGGACAAUACAAAGGGCAGCGAAACCGCGAGGUCAAGCAAAUCCCAUAAAGUUGUUCUCAGUUCGGAUUGUAGUCUGCAACUCGACUACAUGAAGCUGGAAUCGCUAGUAAUCGUAGAUCAGCAUGCUACGGUGAAUACGUUCCCGGGUCUUGUACACACCGCCCGUCACACCACGAGAGUUUGUAACACCCGAAGCCGGUGGAGUAACCAUUUUGGAGCUAGCCGUCGAAGGUGGGACAAAUGAUUGGGGUGAAGUCGUAACAAGGUAGCCGUAUCGGAAGGUGCGGCUGGAUCACCUCCUUUCUAAGGA
rnacentral:rRNA from 1 species